rnacentral:piRNA from 1 species
UGCCAAGUGAUCUACNGAAUUUUCAGAG